GACGAACGCUGGCGGCAUGCCUAACACAUGCAAGUCGAACGGGAUUAUCCAGACAGAAUCCUUCGGGAGGAAGAUUGGUGUAUCUAGUGGCGGACGGGUGAGUAACGCGUGAGUAACCUGCCUACAAGAGGGGGAUAACAACUGGAAACAGUUGCUAAUACCGCAUAAGCCCACAGAGCCGAGUGGCUCAGGGGGAAAAGGAGAAAUCCACUUGUAGAUGGACUCGCGUCCCAUUAGUUAGUUGGCGGGGUAACGGCCCACCAAGACCGCGAUGGGUAGCCGGACUGAGAGGUUGAACGGCCACACUGGGACUGAGACACGGCCCAGACUCCUACGGGAGGCAGCAGUGGGGAAUAUUGGGCAAUGGGCGAAAGCCUGACCCAGCAAUGCCGCGUGAACGAAGAAGGUCUUCGGAUUGUAAAGUUCUGUCCUAUGUGAAGAAAAAAAUGACGGUAACAUAGGAGGAAGCCCCGGCUAACUACGUGCCAGCCGCCGCCGUAACAC
rnacentral:rRNA from 1 species